CUCACUGGCUUGGUUUUGAUAAGACAGCCCUCUUCCAGGCAGCCACCACUGGCAAAGAGGACAGGUUUCCCCACCAGAUCCCCUUUGUAAGCAGCCAGAACAAUCUCAUGCCAGGCUGGCCCCAGGAGAGCAGGAUGCACCCACAUAUGUUGGAUGCAGCAAGAGGAAUCAACCCAGAGCCCUCUCCGGAGUCUACAGGCAUCAUCCCAGUGGUGUGGGGGCAGAUCGGCCGAGCUCAGGCUGGGCCAUUCAGGGGAGAUGCAAAGAGCAGAAGCCCAGACCCGUGCAGCUAUAGGAUGAUCCCCAUGGGUUUCCCCAGUCCUGACUCCUCACCUGGUGAUGCACAUGUGUAUGGGGGUACCUGUUUUCUGCAGAAUUUGCUCUCACGCUGCCUCAUUAGCUGGCUCAAAUGGAGACACCACAAGGGACCCCAGGGCUGAGCAGGGGACACAGCUGCUGGGGCUAGAGGGAGGCUGCUGGGUUUCAUCAGGGACUAGCCCCUCUUUGCUCUGGGGCUGGGUAGUGAAUGAGCUCUAGGCAUGUCCCCAGCACCCUGCUCCGUGGGCCACAUGAUCCCAUUGGCAUUUGCAGCUCUCUGUGGCUGCAGGCGGCAGUGUCACCCACAGGGAUGGUGCAGUGACACCGUGGAGAGGGGGAGCUUUGCUUCAGGUAGGACUCAGGCCCAGGCUGGGGGAGAUGAUGGGCUCUGGCUGCCUGAGAGAGGGCAGGAGCCAGAGCCGGCCAAUGCCCUGGGCCUUGCUGGAAAGUAGGUGCCUUUCUUGUCCAAUUGCCUGGGUCUCAACAGUGGGCAUCUCUUUGGCCCAAAACUACUAUUGAGGUUUUAAUUACCAGGUGUGUCAUUGUUUCCCUGCAAAACUGAGCUCAGGGCCUGUGCCUUGCUGGGAGCUGAGUGGAGCCCUGUAAGCCAGUGCCUGGCAGGGUGGAGGUGCACCUUCUAGGUUAACUGAAUCAGAGACGUGUAAGCUUGACCCAGGUAGAGAGCUGGCGCAGGCAAAGGAAAAAGGAAGCAUCGAUGGUGGGGGUGCUGGGGCUCUCAAGCGUGAAGGCAAAGCAAAAGCUUCUCCAGUGCACGCCCCCCCUGCCCCCGCUCACCGCAAUCGAUGCCGCCUGGCAGGGAGUAGAGCCAGCAUCCCCGCUAUUAAUUUAGAAACCUCCCUGGGGACGGGAAACUUUACCCGGCCCUCGUUAGUCUGCACAAACACCCCCUCCCUCCCCUUGCGCCGAAGACAGGGAUGGCCGUCCCUGGCGAGACACCAGGUGAUGGGGAGCGGCCACAGUAGGACAGCGCAGCCGGCUCCUGCCAGUGCAUGGAGCUCACAGGGCUGCGGAGAGCAUGGGGGCCUGGGGGCCUGCCACAGGUUCUUGCCAUGACCAUGGGCAUGUCCCUUAGCCCCUGUACUAGAAAGGCCGCCUCCCAGGCACUGGUAUGGCUCCCACCUGCAUCCUAUCCCUUUUUUCUGCUUUCCCAGGACAAGGCUAAGGCUGUGGUGUCCAAAACCGCUUGGACCAGGCACAUUUCUAGACACCCUGCUCCCUCCUGGUUCUGGAGGGGUUCUAGAGUGGAAACCCAAGUCAGACUUGGCCUGGCCCCCCAACCCAGGGUGGCUCUGCCCCUGCCUCUCUCCCUCUGGGUUCCCAAUCUCUCCCUCCAUCCUGUCGUCCAUCCAUCCUGCAGGGCCGUUGCUCUGUCCUGGGUGUUAUGGAGGGGCCUGUUGUAUGCAGGGACAGUCCAAGGCCAGCCCAUUUCAUCCGACUCGAGCCUCUUGCUUCACCUGGUUUUAUACCCGGUAAUUAAAACCUCAUCCAGCCCAGUUCCUGCCUAUGCGGCCAUUGUCCUCAGUUGG